CCGCAGCUCGAGUGGUGGUCGCUAUUAUUGAGCCUAAAGCGUCCGUAGCCGGUCUGGUAAAUCCUUGGGGAAAUCGAGCAGCUUAACUGUUCGAAGACCGAGGAGACUGCUAGACUUGGGACCGGGGGAGGUCAGAGGUACUCCGGGAGUAGGGGUGAAAUCCUAUGAUCCUCGGGGGACCACCAGUGGCGAAGGCGUCUGACUAAAACGGAUCCGACGGUAAGGGACGAAACCCUGGGGCGCGAACGGGAUUAGAGACCCCAGUAGUCC
rnacentral:rRNA from 1 species